UUUUUUAUUCAUGUUUUGCUAGGUAAAUAAAUUAUUGUUUAAACUUUCAACUUGAUACUGGAAUGGGUGUUGGAGAAAUAAUAUGUGCAAUUAUCUAAGUGGAUAAACUCUUACAUAUCUGUACAUACCGAGGAAUUGAUUUAGAUUGUUUUUGUCAAACAAAUUAACUGUAAUUAAUAGACUAAUUGGUUAUUUUUUUUUAAUUGACUCGUAUCUUGUCUUUGUUAAUGAAUAAUCAUGCAAAGUUUCAAAUCUUUUUACCAGACAGACAGAUAGACAAAUCGACUGAGUUUUUAUAAGAUUUAUAAAAAAAUGUUGAACAUCUGAGUCAUUUGUGCACAUAUUGUAGGAUAUUGUUUUAUGUCCUUUUACGAAUAAAAAAAUAAACGAAGGCAAGAUUUUUUUCAUCUUUAAACAUUUGCUUGU